AAAAUAUAUCUAAAUCAUCAUGUAUCUUUUAAUUGCGACCAUAUUAGUAGUGGCAACAUGAAAAUUUAAUUAGGCGGGAUAAUUUUUUAAUGGAUCCACGCAUUUCAAAAAUUGAUUAAUUAGGGUUUUAAUCAAAGAACUCUACCAAAAUUCUAAAUUGCUGCUCCCCCUCCGCUCCCUUACGUCUGAUUUGAUUGAAGAACUCAGCCUCUUGCAGAACAAACACAAGCAAUUUCACCUUUCAGGGCUGCUCCCCCUCCCCUCCCUUACGUCUGAUUUGUUUGAGCUACUUAACCUUCAAUUCCCAAUGGUUUCGCUUCCUUAAUCCCACUUGCAACUACCCUAAAAGCUUCUGUUCGCGUUCGUUCUUGCAAAUAGUCGAUAACCUUAGGUGUUCAAACAUACCCAUGGCCUAGUGGUGAAUAAGUAGCUAAAACAAGGAUUAUGCUAACAGGCUUGCAUCUUGUUUGGCAACUAAGGACAUUGACAUUAGCCUGUUUGUCCCUCUUCAAGGUCUUGUAAAUAUGUUCUCAACACAUUCAUGUAGACUUUUCAAAAUAAAGGGCUUGCUUUGUUGCUCAUGCUGUCACAUGUUAGAUGAAAGGGUUCAAGGAUGUAUUAUGCUAUUGCGAACGCUGGAAGCGAUGUCUCACCAAAUUUUCAUGUUUGAGGUGCUACCAAGGAAGCAAAUGUCUAACAAGAUUUUAUGCAUAGGUAAAUUCUUCGUUAUGAUACUGAUUUCAUGUCUAAGAUUGAAAUGUUGAACAUAAUUAUCAAGGAGCUCGUUAAGGAAAAUGAUGAAGAAAAAGAAAGGCUAAAUGGAAUUAUUGCUGGGUUAUUGGCUGAAAAAGAAAAAGAUAAGGUGGAUAAAGAUGCUAUGCUCGAUACGAUGUCACAAAUUGAAGCUAUGUUAACAAGUACAAUUUGAAGAUAGGCUUCAAACACUUGGUUUUGAAUGUUUCGAUGUUUAUCGUAUUAGGAUUUUUUAAGUCAUUUGAUGUUUUAGCUGGUAUUUCUAUUAGAAUGUUUAUAUGCUUUUGAUACACAUAUGUUUUAUAUAAUUUUGGGUUUUCGUGAUCU